rnacentral:rRNA from 1 species
UACAGAGGUCUCAAGCGUUGUUCGGAUUCAUUGGGCGUAAAGGGUGCGUAGGUGGCGUCGUAAGUCGGGUGUGAAAUUUCGGAGCUUAACUCCGAAACUGCAUUCGAUACUGCGGUGCUUGAGGACUGGAGAGGAGACUGGAAUUUACGGUGUAGCAGUGAAAUGCGUAGAGAUCGUAAGGAAGACCAGUGGCGAAGGCGGGUCUCUGG